rnacentral:lncRNA from 1 species
CCCAGCCCGGCUCUCCUGGUCCAGAGAUCUGUUUCACAGGAACCUGAAAACCUGCCAAAUCCAUCACCCAUGAUGAGCAGGACCUAUUCUAUCAAGGAUCGGUAAUUGGGAAUAAGCUUCUCAUUUCAUCCUAAAGGAUUCUGUCACUCCACUGAAAUCUUAAGAGUCUCCAGUGCUUGUUAGGAAAGUGUGGAAGAUGAACCCCUUCUUCAUCCACAGAUGCUGAGAAUGCUAAUUAGAAGACAGGUAUCAGGAAGCCCACACAGAGACGGUUUUGGGAUUUUGUCAGCACUGGGCAAGUGGCUUAAGAUCUGCCCUGCCGGUGUUUGACACCCGAGUCUGAAGCUGGCACCUCAUCCAUUCCCUAGUCCUGCCUUUUUGCUCCCCGGGCUCCCUUUCCAGUGCCACCAUCGCCCUCUUUGCACUUCCCUCGCACUCCAUCUCAGAAGCAGACUUCAAGGAGAUCAAAAGAGGCUGCUCCUCAAGGAAGAGCAGGGGUCCUGCGGCUAGAAAGCGGGGGGCAGUCUCUGUCCACACUCAAAAAUCAAAGAAUUAGCCCGACUUAAUCAAACAAAAUAUUACUAUGUUUUCCGAACAACUUAUUCAGCUCAGAGUCAAGCAACUGUGCCCAGAAUAAUGCUUCUGGAACAGAUGGAGAAGGCAUAUGAAGCCAUGCUGGGAAGUCAUGCUUCCAGAAAUGGUGUUCAUGUCAGCCGUGUUCUCCAACAGCAAGAACCAGAAGCGCCUACCACACCAUCCUCUGGGCCCCGCACAUGUGACCACCAGGACCUUUAACAUGUGGCUCUUCCUAAUAUGUAUUAGAAAUAUUACAUAUUUGUUAAUUUGGUGCCCACUUGUAGAGACCCCAUAUUUUUCACCUUAAGGCCAACAUGAACUAAGAGCUGAAGGAAGUGUUGUGGUGACCCAGCAACAGGAGUGAAGGUACAUUCUCUACUUUGGCAUGAUGCUUGUGUUGGAAAGGAUCCUGAG